AUGUUUAGGAGUGGGAUCUGCCCAAGAACGACCUGUGGUGGUACGGAAGGCAUGGACUCCGCAAGCGUCCCGCACCCUCUGAGAAAGAAACUCCUCAACCAUCACAAGAUAAAGAAGUAUGACGCUCUGUGUCUGACUCUAUUGGUCAUAGUUCCUUGCUGUUGCGGCUGGUGCUCGUUUGCGCGCGUGUGA
rnacentral:rRNA from 1 species